ensembl:snRNA U6 U6 spliceosomal RNA
GUGCUAACUUUGGCUGCAUACAUACUAAAAUUGGAAUGAUUACAGGGAUUAGCAUGGCACCUGCACAAGGAUGACACACAAAUUUGUCAAGGAUGCCAUAUUUUU